AGCUUUGCGCAGUGGCAGUAUCAUAGCCAAUGAGGUUUAUCUGAAGCGUGAUUAUUGCUAAUUGAAAACUUUUCCCAAUACUCCGCCAUGCUGACUUGAAAUAUAGUCAGCAUUGGCAAUUUUUGACAGUCUCUGUGAAGA
rnacentral:snRNA from 1 species